rnacentral:rRNA from 1 species
GACGAACGCUGGCGGCGUGCUUAACACAUGCAAGUCGAACGGAAAGGCCCUGCUUUUGUGGGGUGCUCGAGUGGCGAACGGGUGAGUAACACGUGAGUAACCUGCCCUUGACUUUGGGAUAACUUCAGGAAAGUGGGGCUAAUACCGGAUAGGUGAUCCUGCUGCAUGGUGGGGUUUGGAAAGUUUCGGCGGUUGGGGAAGGACUCUGCGCUUCUCAGCUUGUUGGGGGGGUAAUGGCUUACCAAGGCUUUGACGGGUUGCCGGCCUGAAGGGGUGACCGGCCACAUUGGGACUGAGAUACGGCCCAGACUCCUACGGGAGGCAGCAGUGGGGAAUAAUGCACAAUGGGAGGAAGCCUGAUGCAGCAACGCCGCGUGCGGGAUGACGGCCUUCGGGUUGUAAACCGCUUUCGCAGUUGACGAAGCGUGAGUGACGGUAAUGGGUAAAGAAGCAACGGCUAACUACGUG